CCGGCUGACCUUGCAUGAUCAGGUCCUAAGGAAUGGCUGUUAUUGUUCCUUGCUGAAUGAUUUAGGAAAUAACCUAACUGACGGAAAGAGAACAGAGGACAUACCAACAAUGAAUCAUCUGUUUUUAUUAUCAGUCAUUCAGAUGCUUUGGUGAUGGAUGGAGGAAUAUAUAGCGCUCGGAGCUAUGAGCCUGAGCUCGCCAGGAGUUGGGAGUUGGCAGUUUUGUAGUUUGUUUGCAAUCAAUUACCAUGCAACUGUGAGGCCCUGCUGGAUGAAACGGAGUUGCUGUGAUGCUUCUUAAA